rnacentral:lncRNA from 1 species
CUCCCGCGCCUAGUGUCCGGGACGCGCCUGAACCUGCCGCCUCCGUGCCUGGGGUGGCGCCGCGCGGCCCCGAGCGCUCCAGAAAGCUGCGGCGCGAGUCCGCGGGGCCGACCUCGGAGACGCAGCUGGGGCCGGGCGCGGCUUGGCGGGAGGGUCUGCAGCGCCGAGGGAGGCUGCUAGUGCGUGAGGAAGAGAGCUAGAGACUGGACACGGGAGACAGAGCAGCGUCAGAGCCGCGCAGGGGACGGGAGUGAGAGCAGGAGCGACGCAGAGCGGCCGUCGCCGUGCCCGGGUCUCAGGGCGCCUGGCUGAAGUGAGCAUGGCUUCAGUGGCCUGGGCCGUCCUCAAGGUGCUGCUGCUUCUCCCCACUCAGACUUGGAGCCCCGUGGGAGCAGGAAAUCCACCUGACUGUGAUGCCCCACUGGCCUCUGCCUUGCCUAGGUCAUCCUUCAGCAGCUCCUCAGAGCUGUCCAGCAGCCACGGCCCGGGGUUUUCAAGGCUUAAUCGAAGAGAUGGAGCUGGUGGCUGGACUCCACUUGUGUCAAAUAAAUACCAAUGGCUG